ensembl:lncRNA
GGCCAAGAUAAAGCAAAGCAGUUCGACAGAUACAACGACACAGAGUUACACAUGGAGUAAAACAAACAUACAGUCAAUGAUACAGUAUAAACAAGUCUAUAUACGAUGUGAGCAAAUUAGGUGAGAAGGGAGGUAAAGGCAAAAAAGGCCAUGGUGGCAAAGUAAAUACAAUAUAUCAAGUAAAACACUGGAAUGGUAGUUUUGCAAUGGAAGAAUGUGCAAAGUAGAAAUAAAAAUAAUGGGGUGCAAAGGAGCAAAAAAAAUAAAUAAAUAAAAAUGAAAUACAGUUGGGAAAGAGGUAGUUGUUUGGGCUAAACUAUAGGUGGGCUAUGUACAGGUGCAGUAAUAACUCAUCUCCAGUGCCAGUAUGUGAAGUGAUUUCUUUCAGUGUGCAGAGGGCUUAGGUUUCCUUUCACAGGGACACUGUGAAAGUAAUUAAUGUAAAGGGAGGGGAUGGUUCCUCCACCACGCCAUGGUUCCAUGGUUCCAACUCAUGUCAAACCUGAUGUUUUCAACCGUAAUCACCAGAUGUGCAAGAACAAGUGCUCCAGUACCUUUCUCUUUACUCUCUUUCUCUUUGCUCUCUUUCUCGCUCUCCCUCAGUUUUUUCUCAGGUCUCUUUCUCUCUCAGGGCUUCCUCGGGUCUCUCUUUCUCUCUCAGGUCUCUCUCUCUCUCUCAGGGCUUCCUCAGGUCUCUCUCUCUCUCAGGGCUUCCUUAGGCCUCUCUCUCUCUCUCUCAGGGCUUCCUCAGGUCUCUCUCUCUCUCUCUCAGGGCUUCCUCAGGUCUCUCUCUCUCUCUCUCAGGGCUUCCUCAGGUCUCUCUCUCUCUCAGGGCUUCCUCAGGUCUCUCUCUCUCUCUCAGGGCUUCCUCAGGUCUCUCUCUCUCUCUCAGGGCUUCCUCAGGUCUCUCUCUCACAGGGCUUCCUCAGGUCUCUCUCUCUCUCAGGGCUUCCUCAGGUCUCUCUCUCUCUCUCUCUCUCUCUCUCUCUCAGGGCUUCCUCAGGUCUCUCUCUCAGGGCUUCCUCAGGUCUCUCUCUCUCUCAGGGCUUCCUCAGGUCUCUCUCUCUCUCAGGGCUUCCUCAGGUCUCUCUCUCUCUCUCAGGGCUUCCUCAGGUCUCUCUCUCUCUCUCUCUCAGGGCUUCCUCAGGUCUCUCUCUCUCUCUCAGGGCUUCCUCAGGUCUCUCUCUCUCUCUCAAGGCUUCCUCAGG